CCGCCCUGUGUAUGAUCGGAUCCUGCUAGGUGAUCCAAUUUUGUCGAGCCCUCUAUCAUCUAUCAGAGUAUUCCUCAUUUCUCCACUGAUCGCAGGGGGCUACCAUAUAUUUGUCUGCAUCCAAUGAUCCAUGAAGAACCUCCAGUUUGAUAGUGACUGAGAAUCAAUAUGCUGGAUAGCGAACUGCCUGAGGCUGUAGAGGCCAUCUCGAAACCUUCGUGUGACCACCUCUUCGAAGGUUCGACGGUCAGCCUUCUCAUCCUGAG
rnacentral:lncRNA from 1 species